rnacentral:rRNA from 1 species
UACGUAGGUGGCAAGCGUUGUUCGGAAUUAUUGGGCGUAAAGCGCGCGUAGGCGGUUACUCAAGUCGGAUGUGAAAGCCCUCGGCUUAACUGAGGAAGUGCACCCGAAACUGAGUAGCUAGAGUACUAAAGAGGGUCGCGGAAUUCCCGGUGUAGAGGUGAAAUUCGUAGAUAUCGGGAGGAACACCGGUGGCGAAGGCGGCGACCUGGGUAGAUACUGACGCUGAGGCGCGAAAGCGUGGGGAGCAAACAGG